ACAGUCUAAGAGGAGUUUGAAAAAGUAGGUUUUCAACAUUAAAUGGCGGACAGGAUGUUUGGCCAAUACUUCAUAAUGGGUAUCAAUGUUCUCGGUAUUACCCAAGGAAUCUAUUGAGAUCACUUCAUUACAAAAGUCUAAUGUAAGCAGAAGUUAUUAACAUUUUUGUAAAUUUCUUUAGAACUUUUGGCCACAAGGUGGCGCUGCCCCCAAACUUUUUGAGUACUAUCAGAGCAUGGUGCCAAAGACACAAACCGAGUUUCGUAACGAUAUGUCAAUGCGUUCGUAAAAUAUAGCAUUUUUGGACAAAAUUCAAUAUGGCUGACAGCCAAAAUGGCUGACAUGGGAAAAUUGGGUAUGGUUGGAUUCGGCAUUAUGCACCGAAUUUUAAGAGACCUUUUGUGAUUUUUGGCCAAACUAUUGAGAAGUUAUAAGCAAAAAUAAGCAUUUUUCAUAUCUCCUGACCACUAGGUGGCACUGCGACAAAACGCUGCAGGUAGCCUCAGGUCAUGCUUAUUAUUACACACACAAAGUUUGGUAAUAUGCCAAACCUUUGCAGAGAUAAAGCCUCACAACCAUUUUUGCGUGUUUUUUUGUAGAAUUUCAACGCGUGUUAUUCGACAACGGAUUGACUAAUCAACUUGAAUUCCAUAACUUUUUGCCAGCAUGGUCUAAAGAUGAUCUGAGCCAAUUUCAGUAAAAAUCAGAGAAAAAGUAGGUUUUACAAACAAAUAUUUAUAGAAAAAAACUAAACCUUACGAUUUUUGAAUUUUGGACUUCAUUCGACUCGGCAUGCGCCAAGGAUUUUGAAGAAAUUAUGGUUUUUGAGGAAAGCAUUUCAGGAUUUUUCUCCAUAUAAUGGACUUCAUUGGUGCCCCUAUUUUGAACUUCCAAAAUGCAGUUUAAAUGCAGCUUCAAAUGAUCCCAAAUGCGGUUGUAAACGAUCCCAGCCAAAAAAGAAGGGUCUUAUCUAGUGGAUCUUAUCUAAUUUUCUGAUCGACGGCCAUCUUGUUUUCCCGCAUCGAGACCGUGGCUGACACGCGAUUCCACAAUAUCGGAGUAAUUAUACAAAUAACUUUGAUUUUAUUGUUAUUACAGUUGAUAUAUGUAUAUGAUGAAGUUGACUGCUUAAUGGGUGUUUUCACACAGGUAACAUGUAGAGGCAUGUACAUAAAUCCACGCACCUUUCAUUAGGCGGAUUGUAUAAAGUUAUUGACAUUUUAUAGCGAUUAAAAAGCAUCCAUAAAAAUAAAAAAUAAAGAGCUUGAUACAUUAAAAGCGAUAUUAGCCGCGAAACCUAACUUAAAUCGUUCAUCUCAGAACAGCAGUAUUAAUGAGGUAUUAACUCAAUUAAUGAGGUAAAGACAUUUAUUAUUUUAAAACAUUUGGUUAGUUUAUUUAGUUGUAUUUCUCAUUACUGUUAAGCCCAUUUGUGUUAUUGUUCUAUUGCAUUUUUUGGUCCUGUUACUGCCCAAAUAGUACUGUUUACUUGUCUAUGUUUCAUUUUCCUUUAAUCCAGAUGGUAAUGGCUUGUUUUUUUUUGUUUGUUUUUUUUCUUUAGGAAAGACAUUUUUAAUGAUUUUUCUUAACAGUUUGGAGAUGUAAUCGAGUUACAGGACAACUACACAUACCAGCCAGUAUCCGGACAAUUCCUAAGCAAUAUAUACAUGUUCAAGCUGCAAGGGAAGACCAAAGGAAGGCCUGUCAUGGGAUUUGAAUUUGGCCAUAUUGUGCGUUCACGGAGAACACCAAAAGCUGCAAAGGCAAACAUUUCCAAUGCUGAAGACCAAAAACACAAAGAAAAUCAGUUACAGCUAGCAAGUCAAACCAGUCCUGAUGAAUAAGGAAUGAACAUGAGCCCAAACAGAAAAAGACAAAGAGCUGGAAAGUUGCACAUUUCCAUUGCUCCUAGAAUGAGCAGAUCAACUGUGCCAUUAUCUUUGGAAUUUGGGCAGGAAAUGACCGAAUAUGGAGGAUAAAGCCAGUUGAUGAAGAUAUCAAUUCAACGGCCACCAAGUUCAGCACUGCAGCCUGAACCCAUCAGAACAUCUACACCAGGUCAGAGACUCCAGCCACCCAAGCUAUGGACUCCUCUUACCGUUACCUUCAGGCAGAUGUUAUCGCAGAACCUUCACAAGCAGACUGCAAGACAAGUUCUUUCCACAGGCAAUCAGACUGAACUGAACUCGUACCAGUAACACCACACACAGCACAUCAACCUCAUAUGUACUGCACUCUAUCAUUUACACUGACUGGAUUCUGACUCACUAUUAUUCUGUACCCUGACAUUCGUUUGCACAAAUUCAUACUGUACUGCACUGCAAUGGUAUAUUUGUACUGUAAUUAUUAGGGCCUGAGCACUGCAGUGCGAGGACCCUAUUGGAAUUGCUCCGUUUAUUAUUAUUCUUCCGCUUCUUCUUCUUCUCCAAAGUGAAAAGUCUUUUUGAGGGCCUAAACAUGCUCGAAAACUCACGAAACUUUGCGCACACAUCAGACCUGGCGAAAAUUUACAUCUGAUAUGGUUUUCAGAAGUGGGUGUGGCAAAAUGGCUCGAUAGCGCCGCCUAUAAAAUUUCAACGGAGUGCGCCUCAAACUACGUUUCACGUACAUGUACGAAACUCGGUACACACAUGUAACACACCAAUACCUACAAAAAAAGUCUCCUGGCACAACAUCCAAAACCCAACAGGAAGUCCGUUAUAUUGAAUUUCCUGUAUGAUUUUUGUGCAGUUUUUGCCAUUUUCAGGCCUCGUACUUUAACAAACUCCUACAGUUUUAAUCCGAUCAUCUUCAGAUUUGCUGAGUGUUAUCAUAAGGCCUUUGCGAUGCUAAAUUGCGAAGAUCUAGAGUUUUCGUCAAGGGGCAUGUCCCUGGCAGCCUGACAAAUUUCGAUGUUUCGCCAUGAAAAAGGAAGUUGCUGUAACUCAGGCAAACAAUGUCCGAUCUGCCUCAAACUUCACACGUUUGAUAACAGUCAGGUCCUGAACACAUGUCAGUGCCCAUAUUCAGUUACAGUCAUAGCGCCACCUGCUGACAACAGGAAGUGACAUGUUUAACACUGUUAUGGACUCCUAGCAACAUAUUAAAAAGCGUUAGCAAGUUUUAAAUAGGCUAGCAACAUGCUAGAAUCAUGCUAAAACAUGCUAGCAACACUUAGCUAAGAGCUAAAACAUGAUAUUAAUACAAAGAAAAAGGGAAUUGCUGUAACUCAUGCAUACAAUGUCCAAUCUGCCCCAAACUUAAUAUUCAACAUGCUACAAACAUAGUAAAGCAUGCUAGCAACACUUAGCUAAUAUGCUAAAGCAUGCUAAUAAUACAAUGAAACAGGAAGUUACUGUAACUCAGGCAUACAAUGUCCAAUCAGCCCCAAACUUAACAUGUUUCAUAAAAGCCCUGGUCUGAACACAUGCCCAUGCCCAUAUUCAGUUAUAGUCAUAGCUCCACCUGCUGGCAACAGGAAGUGACAUGUUUAAUACUAUGGAUGGAUGCCUAGCAACAUUUUUAAAAGCAUCAACAAGUGUUAAAUAGGGUAACAACAUGUUAGAAAUAUGCUAAAACAUGUUAGCAACACUUAGCUAAGUGCUAAAGCAUGUUAUUAAUGCAGUGAAACAGAAAGUUACUGUAACUCAGGCAUGCAAUGUCUAAUCAGCCCAAACUUAACAGGUUUGAUAAGAGUCCUGGCCUGAACACAUUUACGUGUUAAUAUUCAGUUAUAGUCAUAGCACCACCUAUUGUCAACAGAAAGUGACGUUUAACACUGUGAUACACUAUUAGCAACACACUAAAAUAAGCCAUUGAGUGCUAAACUUGCUAAAAACACACUCAAACAUGCUAGCAACACUUACUAAGUGCUAAAGCAUGUUGUUAAAGCCAUGAAACAAGAACCUUGUUGUAAUUCAUGCAAACAAUGUCCAAUCUGCCCCAAACUUCACAUGUUUGAUAAGAGUCCUGGCCUGAAGAUAUCUACAUGCCCAUAUUCGGUUAUAGUCAUAGCGCCACCUGCUGGCAACCGGUAGUGACAUGUUUAACACUGUGAUGGACUAUUAAAAGCACAGCAAAAUAUGCCAUAUUGUGCUAAACAUGCUAGAAACACUAAGUGCUAAUGCAUGCUAUUAAUGCCAUGAAAGAGGAAGUUGUUGUAACUCAGCCAUACAAUGUCCGAUCCAAACUUCACAUGUUCGAUAAGAGUCCUGGCCUGAACACAUCUAAUGGCCAAUAUUCCAUUGCAAUCAUAGCGCCACCUGCUGGCAACAGCAAAUUACUUGUUUUACACUAACUUAAACAUGCAAUGUCCAAUCUGCCCCAAACUUCAGAUGUUCAAUAAGAGUCCUGGCCUGAACACAUCUAAAGGCCAAUAUUCCAUUGCAAUCAUAGCGCCACCUGCUGGCAACUGCAAAUUACUUUUUUUUACACUAACUUAAACAUGCAAUGUCCAAUUUGCACCAAACUUUGAUAUGUUUGGCAAGAGUCCUGGCCUGAACACAUCUAAAGGCCAAUAUUCCGUUAUAAUAAUAGCGCCACCUGUUGGCAGCAGGAUAUGUCACGUCUUACACUAACUCAAGCAUGCCAUGUUCAAUCUGCACCAAACUUCGUAUGUUUGAUAAAAGUGCUGGCCUGAACACAUCUACAUGCCAAUAUUCAGUUACAGGCAUAGCACCACCAGCUGGCAGCUGGAAAUUUUGCACAUUUAAAUGACUUUAUAUUCCUCCUAUGUUUACUAUAUUAAAAGCAUAUGGCCCACCAUUCGCUGUUUCCCUAAAGCCACCAGUCGGUGGUGAGCCCGGGUGCGAGGGCCCUUUCAUCGCUGCUUGCAGCUUUAAUUGUGUAUAUUACUGUUUUAAUCUCUUGCUCUCUGUAUAGUAUAAUAUUUACCGUAUGUUGUUCUUUAGCUGUAUUGAGUCCCUUAUAUAUGUGUGUUGCAUAUAUAUUCAAUACUUGUCAUCCGUACUGUCGUGCUGCAGUUUGCACGACCUUUCACGACCUGUACAUUUACAUUCUUAAUAUUGUUGUAAAUAAAGUGAUUUGAUUUGAAUUGGUCACAUGUCUUUUGUUCGUCAGUUGUACUGUAGGGUGCUGCAUAACAGCUGCAAAUUAAGUCAUGGAAGAAGAAGAUUAUAACAUGGACAUGGACAAGCAAGCAAGAUGAAGAAAACCAGGAGAGCUCUGAUAAUGAGCAGGAAACUGAAUGUGAUUCUAUGAU